UAUUUAAAACACCUCAAAACAGUAUAAAAUAGUGUGCUGAGACACAUCAUAGUAUAGGAUGGAAUGAUUCUGUUUUGGUUCUAUUGUAAUUUUUUGUGUGUUUCUUUUCCCCUCCCUUUUGUAUUUCCUUUAGACUCCUACAGUUUGUUUUGCAGGGGUUGGGACUGUUUGUGCUGCAGCUCCUGAUGAAGUACUGCUGUUUCCACUUCUUCUCAUCAACCUGACAAUAACAACCUGAUCAGCAGUCCACAACACUUCAAACUCAUCCAGACAACCCUGUGCUCCAACCUCUUGUUUUUUUUUUAUACCACAGUUUGCAAUGAGGCAGCCUGCUCCCUGUCACCACUGUCUGCUCUUUUGUCCUUUGUUUAAUAAAUACUUUUUGAUCUACAAA